UACAGAGGUCCCAAGCGUUGUUCGGAUUCAUUGGGCGUAAAGGGUGCGUAGGCGGCGCGGUAAGUCGGGUGUGGAAUCUCGGGGCUUAACUCCGAAACUGCAUUCGAUACUGCCGUGCUUGAGGACUGGAGAGGAGACUGGAAUUUACGGUGUAGCGGUGAAAUGCGUAGAUAUCGUAAGGAAGACCAGUGGCGAAGGCGGGUCUCUGGACAGUUCCUGACGCUGAGGCACGAAGGCCAGGGGAGCAAACGGG
rnacentral:rRNA from 1 species